CUCGUAGUCNGAUGUCGGGCUCGGGCAGGCUGUCGGCUUCGGUCGGACGGCAGGCUCGGGUCUUUCUGCAUGAGGAUCCCGUUGCACUUAAUUGUGGGGCGUGGGGACACAUGCCGUUUACUUUGAAAAAAUUAGAGUGUUCAAAGCAGGCCUACGCUUGAAUACAUUAGCAUGGAAUAAUGGAAUAGGACUUUGGUCUUAUUUGUUGGUUAUGGGACCGAAGUAAUGAUUAACAGGGACAGUUGGGGCCGUUUAUAUUUCGUUGUCAGAGGUGAAAUUCUUGGAUUUACUAAAGAUAAACUUGUGCGAAAGCAUUCGGCAAGGAUGUUUUCAUUGAUCAAGAACGAAAGUUAGGGGAUCGAAGACCAUCAAAUACCGNCGUAGUCUUAACCAUAAACUAUGCCGACUAGGGAUCAGUGGAUGUCAAUUUGCGACUCCAUUGGCACCUUGUGAGAAAUCAAAGUUUUUGGGUUCCGGGGGGAGUAUGGUCGCAAGGCUGAAACUUAAAGGAAUUGACGGAAGGGCACCACCAGGAGUGGAGCCUGCGGCUUAAUUUGACUCANCACGGGGAAACUUACCAUGUCCAGACAUAGGAAGGAUUGACAGAUUGAAAGCUCUUUCUUGAUUCUGUGGGUGGUCGUGCAUGGCCGUUCUUAGUUGGUGGAGUGAUUUGUCUGGUUAAUUCCGUUCACGAACGAGAUCUCAGCCUGCUAACUAGUAACGUCAAUAUGAUUGGCGGCUACUUCUUAGAGGGACUAUUUGUGUUUAAUGAAUGGAAGUNUGAGGCAAUAACAGGUCUGUGAUGCCCUUAGAUGUUCUGA
rnacentral:rRNA from 1 species